rnacentral:rRNA from 1 species
AUUGAACGCUGGCGGCAGGCCUAACACAUGCAAGUCGAACGAGUGGCGGACGGGUGAGUAAUGUCUGGGAAACUGCCUGAUGGAGGGGGAUAACUACUGGAAACGGUAGCUAAUACCGCAUACCAUCAGAUGUGCCCAGAUGGGAUUAGCUUGUUGGUGGGGUAACGGCUCACCAAGGAGACGGUCCCUAGCUGGUCUGAGAGGCUGACCAGGCACACUGGAACUGAGACACGGGCCAGACUCCUACGUGAGGCAGCAGUGGGGAAUAUUGCACAAUGGGCGCAAGCCUGAUGCAGCCAUGCCGCGUGUAUGAAGAAGGUCUUCGGUUUGUAAAGUACUUGCAGCGGGGAGGCGUGACCCGCAGAAGAAGAACGGGCUAACUCCGUGCCAGCAGCCGCGGUAAUAC